rnacentral:rRNA from 1 species
UACGUAGGUGGCAAGCGUUGUCCGGAAUGACUGGGUAUAAAGGGAGUGUAGGCGGCGAUGCAAGUUACAUGUGAAAGCCCCGAGCUUAACUCGGGAACUGCAUAUAAAACUGUGUUGCUAGAGUGUGGGAGAGGUAAGUGGAAUUCCUAGUGUAGCGGUGGAAUGCGUAGAUAUUAGGAGGAACACCAGUGGCGAAGGCGACUUACUGGACCAUAACUGACGCUGAGGCUCGAAAGCGUGGGGAUCAAACAGG